rnacentral:rRNA from 1 species
UGGGGAAUUUUGGACAAUGGGGGAAACCCUGAUCCAGCCAUCCCGCGUGUGCGAUGAAGGCCUUCGGGUUGUAAAGCACUUUUGGCAGGAAAGAAACGUCAUGGGUUAAUACCCCGUGAAACUGACGGUACCUGCAGAAUAAGCACCGGCUAACUACGUGCCAGCAGCCGCGGUAAUACGUAGGGUGCAAGCGUUAAUCGGAAUUACUGGGCGUAAAGCGUGCGCAGGCGGUUCGGAAAGAAAGAUGUGAAAUCCCAGAGCUCAACUUUGGAACCGCAUUUUUAACUACCGGGCUAGAGUGUGUCAGAGGGAGGUGGAAUUCCGCGUGUAGCAGUGAAAUGCGUAGAUAUGCGGAGGAACACCGAUGGCGAAGGCAGCCUCCUGGGAUAACACUGACGCUCAUGCACGAAAGCGUGGGGAGCAAACAGG